GACAGCGGGUGCAAACGUUGUUCGGAAUUACUGGGCGUAAAGCGUGUGUAGGCGGUCCACUAAGUCGGGUGUGAAAGCCCUGGGCUCAACCCAGGAAGUGCACUCGAAACUGGCGGGCUUGAGUAUCGGAGAGGUUGGUGGAAUUCUCGGUGUAGAGGUGAAAUUCGUAGAUAUCGAGAGGAACACCGGUGGCGAAGGCGGCCAACUGGACGAAUACUGACGCUGAGACACGAAAGCGUGGGGAGCAAACAGG
rnacentral:rRNA from 1 species